rnacentral:tRNA from 4 species
UCCCCGGUAGCUCAAUCGGCAGUAGCGGCUGGCUGUUAACCAGUAGGUUGCAGGUUCGAGUCCUGCCCGGGGAGCCA